GGUUCAUCAAGUCUUCAAAAAAGAAUAUAUACGAUUGCAUUGCACAUACUAACGGAUGCGAUCAUACCAGCACUAAUGCACCGGAUCCCAUCAGAACUCCGCAGUUAAGCGUGCUUGGGCGAGAGUAGUACUAGGAUGGGUGACCUCCCGGGAAGUCCUCGUGUUGCAUCCCUCUUUUAUGUUUAACCUUUUUUUUUUU
rnacentral:rRNA from 1 species